CUACGGGGCGCUGCAGACGAGAAAACUUUGCAAUGUGCGAAAGCACGACAAGGUUAAUCCGAGUGGUUUGUGCUAAACGAACCUUUUGACAGUCCUAGAAACACUGUUGAAUAAGGGGUGGGCAAGUUCUGGUGUCAGCCGCCGCGGUAAAACCAGCACCUCAAGUGGUCAGGAUGAUUAUUGGGCCUAAAGCAUCCGUAGCCGGCUCUGUAAGUUUUCGGUUAAAUCUGUACGCUCAACGUACAGGCUGCCGGGAAUACUGCAGAGCUAGGGAGUGGGAGAGGUAGACGGUACCCGGUAGGAAGGGGUAAAAUCCUUUGAUCUAUUGAUGACCACCUGUGGCGAAGGCGGUCUACCAGAACACGUCCGACGGUGAGGGAUGAAAGCUGGGGGAGCAAACCGGAUUAGAUACCCUUGUAGUC
rnacentral:rRNA from 1 species